rnacentral:rRNA from 1 species
GAUGAACGCUGGCGGCGUGCCUAAUACAUGCAAGUCGAGCGAACAGACGAGGAGCUUGCUCCUCUGACGUUAGCGGCGGACGGGUGAGUAACACGUGGAUAACCUACCUAUAAGACUGGGAUAACUUCGGGAAACCGGAGCUAAUACCGGAUAAUAUAUUGAACCGCAUGGUUCAAUAGUGAAAGACGGUUUUGCUGUCACUUAUAGAUGGAUCCGCGCCGCAUUAGCUAGUUGGUAAGGUAACGGCUUACCAAGGCGACGAUGCGUAGCCGACCUGAGAGGGGGAUCGGGGACACGGGAACUGAGACACGGUCCAGACUCCGACGGGAGGCAGCAGUAGGGAAUCUUCCGCAAGGGGCGAAAGCCUGACGGAGCAACGCCGCGUGAGUGAUGAAGGUCUUCGGAUCGUAAAACUCUGUGAUUAGGGAAGAACAAAUGUGUAAGUAACUAUGCACGUCUUGACGGUACCUAAUCAGAAAGCCACGGCUAACUACGUG